rnacentral:lncRNA from 1 species
CUUUUAUAGAUACGGCGUACAUUUUGCAGCGUUAUUUGUACUACUGGUUUAGGAUAUCCAUUAAGAGGCUGGAAGUACAAGUUAGCAUCAGUAACACACACAUGCCCUGGAUUAGUCACCAGUGGUGUCACCAUUUCUGCUUUACAUUCCAUACGCAGCGUUUCAGAAAUGCUUUGAAAUCUGUUUUUAUCAAACGAAGUUCUAGCCAAACGGGAUUGCAGUAUAGCAGUUAUCAUGGCAGCUUGAUCUCCCAUCUUAUCUAGACAAGAAGCCCUGUAGAGCUGAUGUAGAGUUUGCACAACAUCUCCUAGUUUCCCGGCUACAUCCAGUUGGAAUAGGUGUUCUGUUUUACCUCUUACUGUUUUAUAGGGCGCAAUAACAUUUCUUUCUUUAAUGAGAAAAACCUGAUUACAC